GAUAUGCAGGCAUGUGAGCGUAAAUCCACUACUCUUGUGUAUUUGUACAAUGCAUGAUAUUUUGUAGAGCAAUUAAGCCCCAUAAUUGAAUGCAGAAUCAGAAUUUCCUUCAGUCUUCUCAAUCUGACUUGUUAGCAACCAGAGUGAUUACGGCAGGAGCUGAGGUAAAUGACACUAAUCCAGCGAGGCACAUUUCCAACCUGAAUUGCACACCAAACCUGUUCCUACGCCCCCAUCCCAUGCGAGCAUGAGGCACAAUUAUCACAUGUAAGGUCCUGUUCUGAAAAAGGCAAGAAUCCUACAGGGAAACAGGCUGGGGAGGGAGGGUGCCGUGCUCUUCGUUCCUGUGGCUGAUAAGAAAGCACGUACUGUGUUUCCAGCUCUGUUUCUUCCCUCUUCCCUUUCCUAGCAGUAGCUCUGACAGGCUGAGACCCGGUGCGACACGGUUAUCCAUCUUCUGCAGCAGGACCGUCGGUCAUUCGGGCAGAAAAGCUACUUCUACAGAUUGACUUCCCCUUCCAAAAAAUCGUUCCUAUCCGGAAGAUGUAAUCCCAUCACUGAGAGAACCAUAAAAACCCCUGUGAUUAAAAAGUCUGUGUCACAAAUAGCAAGCUUAGGCCAUAAUAAUAAAAACAGAGGGAAUUUAACCAUGAGUCACUCAGAAAGUUCCUGUAAAUUACUCUUGACGUAGCCUGAGUUGACGCUGAAGAAAUCUGUGAGAAAGUUGUCCUUACAUUCCUGUCGGAUUCCUCAGCAGCUGGGACAGCACUUCUACACCAUGUUCCACCCUGGCUGCCUUGGAGCACAGGCUCGGAUUGCCUCUUGGAUGUGGUGUCCUUCAAUCACGUACCGCCUCCUUUUAAGAGAAGGAAGAACAAAUGGCAAACUGUGGGUAAUGAAAACAACAGAUCAAGAAAAUAGCAUCAGAAUUAAGCAGUAGGAAAGAACUAGAAGAGGAACUAAAAUGCUGGAUGCGUCUGACCUGGCAAGUGAGAACUGGUGAGCACAGAGUGUACUGCACAGAGCUACCAAGGGACGUGGCACGGGGUGUAUUUUGGCCUUGGGCUGGCAAAAUCUCUGCUCUUGCAAAACAAGUCAUGGCAUUCUUACUAUCUGCAAGAAGCUUGCAAGACAGGGAACGCACUGAAGAAUGUGAAAAAAACAUGCAAAACUAUUACAGAGAAACAAGUUUCCAGGCCGGGCGGUGUGUUGAGACUCUAAUGGUAACGCUAAUGCAGGGGCAGAGCCUGCCCACGCCUACACAGAGCAACCCACUCCUCCCUGCCUGCCACGCAGAAGGGAAAGGGAAGUUUGAAAAAAAAUUUGUCUGGCUGCUGGAGAGCUCCAUCUCGUGGUAAAAUUCCAGGAAGAUCUUCACAAGUAUUCCCGUCUGAAG